rnacentral:rRNA from 1 species
GUGCAAACUGUGAGGAAGGUGGGGAUGACGUCAGGUCAUCAUGGCCNUUAUGGGUAGGGCUACACACGUCAUACAAUGGCCGGGACAGAGGGCUGCCAACCCGCGAGGGGGAGCUAAUCCCAGAAACCCGGUCGUAGUCCGGAUCGUAGUCUGCAAUUCGACNGUGUGAAGGCGGAAUCGCUAGUAAUCGCGGAUCAGCUUGCCGCGGUGAGUACGUUUCCCGGGUUUUGUACACACCGCCAGUCACACCAUGGGAGCGGGUUA